UCCCUGGUGGCUCAGACGGUAAAGCGUCUGCCUGCAAUGCGGGAGACCUGGGUUCGAUUCCUGGAUCGGGAA
rnacentral:tRNA from 1 species